GCAGAUGUGGUGUAAAUGGCAACACAAGGGUGUGGUAAAUCCUCGAUGUGGGUUCGAUUCCCGCCAUCUGCU
rfam:Microcoleus chthonoplastes PCC 7420 scf_1103659003793 genomic scaffold, whole genome shotgun sequence.